rnacentral:lncRNA from 1 species
AUAAAACCCAGCUCUAUGAACUGGUGGCCAUGAUGAUUUAAAUUUUCAUUGUGAGAUCAUCAUCACCCCCAACAUUCUAUGGGUGUCCUGGAAACCUUCAUGUACAUAGUGUCUUUGAGCUAUCCUAGUGAAGGUUGAUCAUUCUCUCUUCUCAAGGUGUGACCUGGGAUUGUACUGGCUGUACUGCAAGCACUUCAUGAAGAUGCCAUGUGCCAGCAUCCCUGUACCCCGUCCUGGUGUUGCAUCUGCUACAGUGGCUGGGCAAGCAAGUGCUAUGACAAAGGAUGUGCAACACAAACCCCGUGGCCAGCAGUGUUACCUUCUGUGGAUCAUACCCCUACUGAUACUGAAGCACAACAUCCAAUAUGACCCCACAACUAGCCCUGGGUCAUACAGCAAAUCACGGCUCAGCAGCUCCUGCCCUUCUUCCAGAUGGCCACCAAAAUGGAGAGCAACAGGAACCCUGAGAAUCCCUAUUGUCCCUACCAACUCUGGUAAGCCAAGUGCCACAAAACAGCUCCAUGCAGAGCCCUCCAUAAUGGGGGCCUUUCCUGUCAGUAUAGCAUGGCCCCAGUAG